CGGGGCUUCUGACCAUCCUGCGUGUCCCAGGCUCCAGAUGCAGUGGGGUCCUGGGGGUGUCGAAGCUGGGCCCCGGUCAGCCAGGCGUGAGGGUGGCUGUGCCCACGAUGGACCCUGCUGGGCCGCUCAACAUGCCCAGGGAGACACCACCUUCCUAGCAGCUGCUGGCCGGCCUUGUCUUCCGCGGGUCUGGGGAAUCUUGCUGUUUCCACAGGGCUGGGGUCAAGCCCAGGGUCUUGCACACAGGACGGGCAGGUGCUGAAGCACUGAGUCCUGUCCUCGUGCCCACUGUUAACCAGGCCUCCUCUGUCCAGACUGCACAGGGGCUGCUCCAUCCGCACUGCAGUGCAGGAGCCACCAGCCCCACGAGGCCACUGAGCAUGUGGGCUCAAGGUGACUGAGGUCCCUUUCAAGGAGCCUCCUGGGGCUGCACGAACCACAGCUCUGAGGCAGCCCAGGCUAUUUGGGCACUGACCACAGUGGUGGCACACAGACCUGGCAGAGCUGUAGGACUGGAUAAGCACACCUGGGGGGCAGGCCAGGGACCCCCAACAACGGCUGUGCUUCCAUCGGUGGGGACACAAUCGAGAGCUAUGUCCUGGGCCUGGGAAUUC
rnacentral:lncRNA from 1 species